AUUUAUCUAGUAUAACUGUAUAGCUGACUUCCAAUCAGAAGGACUGAGACCACUCAGGAUAAAUA
rnacentral:tRNA from 1 species